AAGCCCGGGUAGUCAGGAUCUCACGACUACGAUGCGUCCCACGCAUUGAUCCCGCCCAAAGUUCGCAAAGCUUCCGGAGGCGCGAACGAUCGGUGUUUCAAACGCCGAUGGAUGC
rfam:Pseudomonas syringae pv. pisi str. 1704B contig2533.1, whole genome shotgun sequence.